CUCAGAUAAAACUUGAGCUAAAGAACUCCUGUAUUCCCCUAAGCUCUGCUGGCAGUCUCCUGCUUUUCAGGCAGUGACAUCUUCAUGAGAUUCUCUUUUCUUCUUCUGAAAAGUAAUUGCUUUUCAGCACAAGGCAUUUGGAACUUGGUAACAUAAGAACCUGGAGUACCCAGUCCAGAGAGUUGCUUUUGAAGAGAUUGAAAGAGGUAGACAUGUUGAGCCUUGAGAAGAGAAGAUUGAAGGAAGAUAUGAAAGCACUUUUCAAAUACAUGAAAGGCUG